CGGCGGACGGGUGAGUAACACGUGGAUAACCUACCUAUAAGACUGGGAUAACUUCGGGAAACCGGAGCUAAUACCGGAUAAUAUAUUGAACCGCAUGGUUCAAUGGUGAAAGACGGUUUUGCUGUCACUUAUAGAUGGAUCCGCGCCGCAUUAGCUAGUUGGUAAGGUAACGGCUUACCAAGGCAACGAUGCGUAGCCGACCUGAGAGGGUGAUCGGCCACACUGGAACUGAGACACGGUCCAGACUCCUACGGGAGGCAGCAGUA
rnacentral:rRNA from 1 species